UCUUCUUCCCGGUAAAUGAGACCGACGGCGAGCGUGUGUUUCAUUUCCGUAUACAACUAACUUGUAAACCGGUUAUCCUGCCCUAAAAUGACAACGUCAACAGGUUAUGGGCCCAGGAGGGACGUUGGAAACCGAUGGAGCAGGUUGUGUUUCGACGGAGAUGAAAAGAAUUACGAGUUAUGGGAGACAAAGUUGUCCAUAAUAGUAUACUAAUCCCAUAUGAAUAGCCUGGACCUCUCCAUAAAUGCUAUUUGUUCGGGGACAUGCAAGCUGUUAUGGAGAGACUAUCGAUGAGAGAGUCUCUCCAUAAUAGUCUUUUCUUUACCGCCUCAGCGUGGAGAACUGUUUACAGAAGAAUCUCGAAGCUCUCAGAACAGAGUCGAUCUCGUGUCUUGUUUGAUAUGUCCUCCCCGGGCCAAGUGGCUGAGGCAGUGAAGGCAGCCAUUUCAGCUGGAUACCGCCAUAUUGAUGGGGCUUACAUCUACACGAAUGAGACUGAGGUUGGGGAGGGGAUUCAUGCCAUGAUCAAGGAAGGCGUGGUGAAGAGAGAGGACCUGUUUGUGGUCAGCAAGCUGUGGUGCACCUUCCAUGAGAAGUCCAUGGUGAAGGCUGCCUGUCAGAAGACCCUGACUGACCUGAAGCUGGACUACCUGGACCUCUACCUAAUUCACUGGCCAAUGGGUCUGACGCCUGGGGCAGAGGACUUUCCUCUAGACAGCGAGGGGCUCACCGUGUCAGAUGCCACCAGCUUUUUGGAUACUUGGGAGGGUAUGGAGGAGCUGGUAGAUGCUGGGAUGGUCAAGGCCAUUGGAGUCUCCAACUUCAACCAUGAACAGAUUGAGGCCUUAUUGAACAAACCGGGCCUGAAGUACAAACCUGCCAACAACCAGAUUGAAUGCCACCCCUACCUGACCCAGGAGAAGCUGAUCAACUACUGUCACUCCAAAGGCAUCUCUGUCACAGCAUACAGCCCCCUGGGCUCUCCAGACAGACCAUGGGCCAAACCAGAGGACCCCUCUCUGCUGAAUGAUCCAAUUCUCAAGGCUAUUGCUGAAAAGCACAACAAGAGCGCAGCACAGGUUUUGAUCCGGUUCCAGGUUCAGAGGAAUGUGAUUGUCAUUCCAAAGUCGAUCACAGCUCACCGCAUCCAGGCAAACUUCCAGGUUUUUGAUUUUGAACUAAGUGAGGAGGAAAUGAAGACCAUCCUAGGGUUCAACAGGGACUUUAGAUGCUGUCCCAUGCUUUCGAGUGUGAAUCACAAGGACUUUCCCUUCAAUGCAGAAUUUUGAGGCCAAUGGGAGCAUCAAAUAAUUGGUCUUUCUCCACAUCUGCUCUCCGUUUGUUUCUCCGUGCUAAUCUCACUCUUGAAAUGUUGUCCCAUUUUUAAUAAUAUGAAUUUGUGGCCCUCUUUGAAACUCUUGGAACUGGACACUCCUGCAAUCAUGCUAAAACACUGUCACUUUAAACCAAGCAGAAUUCAAACUGGCCCCGCCAUGAAUCCGGAACCCCAAAGGAUGAGUUGGCAACAGCAGGUCCAAUCUGCGACAUUUUAUUAACAAAUGUGCACAUGGGGAGAGCAUUUCAAGGGCAGUCCAAGCGAACCUCCUGAAACUUCCGGAUACAUCCGUCUUUAUAUCCAGGGUGCCCCAACACUCCCCCUGCCCAGUGGCCUGCUUUCACACAGAGGCCUUGAAGUAGCAGCACCUGCCUGCGCAUUUCAUCAUUGACAUCAUGUAACUUUGACAAAAAUAAAUAUUGGACAUCAUUUUCAUGGUGAUCUCAAACAAUGCAAGUAGACAUUGUAUGAAAAUAAAUGCAAGGAGAAGAAAGCUA